AGUUACUAUACACCGUCUUUCAUAAAAUUAUCUUUCGCGUGCAAAUCAGUAAGCGACCUUGACCAUUUGACAGCUGAAAUCGUGAAAGAAAAAUAUGAAUUCGAAAAAAUAAUGAAACGGAGAAUAGUUAUUAUGUUCUGUCAAGAGAUGUAGAAAAAACUCAAACAGCAUUAUAGAACCAUGGGGACCAAUGACACUGUGAUAGCCUUGACCUCCGAGUCAGGGCAUGAUGUUGCCAUGACAACCAAUUUCUCAGAUGUGACAUUAUCAAAUGUGACGUCAUCAACACUUCAUUCAUUUCACAUCAACACAACAGACGUAUAUUGGAAUGAGACAGUGACGAACACUGGCCAAUCUGUUGUGAAUGGGUUUGGUGGUUUGGGUUCCUCGGUGACUGUUGCCGUAGCGCUUAGUUCUGUUGCUUUUGUUUUUGUUAUUGUGAUUGUAUCAGUAUGUUUCGUAAGAAAGAAGUACAGGGAGAAGAAAUCUCGUGCAUGGGUUGACAAUCUCACUCUGAGUUACAUAGCAGACAGUAACAUUGAUCUCACAAAGGAUAACUAUGAUGAGAUGAUUUCGCUAGACAACGACAAUUUUCUCAACAGCCUCGUGGAUUCACAAUCAUUUUCUGUGUAUUCUUCAUCAAGCAACAACAACAACAACAACACACGACAAUACACAUAUUCCUACUUCUGAUGGCAUGGCAACAGGCAGCAGGAUUAUUGUGUAAAAUUGCUUGAAAAGUAUGAUGUACAGUGAGAAUAUAAUUUGUAACAGGGUUGAAUAACAAUGUUGUGUACAUCAAUCAGAAAUUGAUGAAAGAAUAGGCUGCUGGCAGCUAGUGUAAUGUUUGUUUUCCCAUCACGAUAGUGUAAUAAUUACUAUUAUGUUCAAAUUAUUGUUAAGUUUACCAAACACAAUUGUUUUGUUAGGCUGAACAAGAUAGAGAAAGAUUCAAGCUCGAAAUGGGAAGAAAUUACAAAAAUGUGUCAUAUCUUUUAUUGUAUAAAAUUUGUGCUUCUACUUUUAUGUCUUCCAAAUUGGCUGUUAAAGACCUUUCUUUUUUAAAGGCAGUUGAAAGGUAUUUUUUUGAAAGAUAAUUAGUCCAACUGUAAAAUCUUUAAGAAAUGACUGUAUAACUGAAAUAUUUCAAUAAAAAGAGUUAACCUUUGCCUGCUGCCGGCAUUGAUUCUGCCGUUGCGACCAGCGCAGACUAAGAUCAGCCUGCACAUCCAUGCAGGCUGAUCAUGGUCUGCACUGUUCGCUAUUCAGUCAGUAAAUUUUUAGAGAGCACCCCUUCGAAUAAUAAAUGGUAUUGCCCAAAUUGAAUGAUGGACCAGUCCAUUUUAGAAAUUUAGCAGGCUAAGGUUAAUAUGGUACUUGAGACUAUAUCAGUUUUCAGAGAAUCUCCUUUGUUUGAGAGUUCACAUAAUUUCUAGAGAAAUUACCAUCUAAGCUUGUAUUUAUGGUUAGAAUGGGGCUGGAGAUGGGACAGCUUUGUCUAGAUGUUUUUAGCUCACCUGUCACAAAGUGACAAGGUGAGCUUUUGUGAUCAUGCGGUGUCCGUCGUCCGUCGUCCGUGCGUCAGUCCGUAAACUUUUGCUUGCGACCACUCUAGAGGUCACAUUUUUCAUGGGAUCUUUAUGAAAGUUGGUCAGAAUGUUCACCUUGAUGAUAUCUAGGUCAAGUUCGAAACUGGGUCACGUGCCAUCAAAAACUAGGUCAGUAGGUCUAAAAAUAGAAAAACCUUGUGACCUCUCUAGAGGCCGAAUAUUUCAUAAGAUCUUCAUGAAAAUUGGUCAGAACGUUCACCUUGAUGAUAUCUAGGUCAAGUUCAAAACUGGGUCACGUGCCUUCAAAAACUAGGUCAGUAGGUCAAAUAAUAGAAAAACCUUGUGACCUCUCUAAAGGCCAUAUUUUUCAUGGGAUCUGUAUGAAAGUUGGUCUGAAUGUUCAUCUUGAUGAUAUCUAGGUCAAGUUCGAAACUGGGUCACGUGCGGUCAAAAACUAGGUCAGUAGGUCUAAAAAUAGAAAAACCUUGUGACCUCUCUAGAGGCCAUAUAUUUCAUGAGAUCUUCAUGAAAAUUUGUCAGAAUGUUCACCUUGAUGAUAUCUAGGUCAAGUUCGAAAGUGGAUCACGUGCCUUCAAAAACUAGGUCAGUAGGUCAAAUAAUAGAAAAACGUUGUGACCUCUCUAGAGGCCAUAUAUUUCAUUAGAUCUUCAUGAAAAUUUGUCAGAAUGUUCACCUUGAUGAUAUCUAGAUCAAGUUCGAAAGUGGGUCACGUGUCUUCAAAAACUAGGUCAGUAGGUCAAAUAAUAGAAAAACCUUGUGACCUCUCUAAAGGCCAUAUUUUUCAUGGGAUCUGUAUGAAAGUUGGUCUGAAUGUUCAUCUUGAUGAUAUCUAGGUCAAGUUCGAAAGUGGGUCACGUGCCUUCAAAAACUAGGUCAGUAGGUCAAAUAAUAGAAAAACCUUGUGACCUCUCUAAAGGCCAUAUUUUUCAUGGGAUCUGUAUGAAAGUUGGUCUGAAUGUUCACCUUGAUGAUGUCUAGGUCAAGUUCGAAACAGGGUCAUGUGCGGUCAAAAACUAGGUCAGUAGGUCUAAAAAUAGAAAAACCUUGAGACCUCUCUAGAGGCCAUUCUUGUGAAUGGAUCUCCAUAAAAAUUGGUCAGAAUUUUCAUCUUGAUGAUAUCUAGGUCAAGUUCGAAAGUGGGUCACGUGUAUCAAAAAGUAGGUCAGUAGGUCAAAUCAUGAAAAAAUGUUGUGACCUCUCUAGAGGCCAUAUUUUUCAUGGGAUCUGUAUGAAAAUUGGUCUGAGUGUUUAUCUUGAUGAUAUAUAGGUCAAGUUUGAAACUGGAUCAACUGCGAUCAAAAACUAGGUCAGUAGGUCUUGAAAUAGAAAAACCUUGUGACCUCUCUAGAGGCCAUAUUUUUAAUGAGAUCUUCAUGAAAAUUAGUGAGAAUGUUUACCUUGAUGAUAUCUAGGUAAAGUUCAGAACAGGGUCACAUACCUUUGAAAACUAGGUCAAUAGGUCAAAUAAUAGAAAAAGCCUUGUGACCUCUCUAGAGACCAUAUUUUUCAAUGGAUCUUCAUGAAAAUUGGUCAGAAUUUUUAUCUUGAUAAUAUCUAGGUCAAGUUCAAAACUGGGUCACAUGAGCUUAAGAACUAGAUCACUAUGUCAAAUAAUAGAAAAAACGAUGUCAUACUCAAAACUGGGUCAUGUGGGAAGAGGUGAGCGAUUCAGGACCAUCAUGGUCCUCUUGUUUGUAUUUCUUGUUCUUUAUUUUUUGUUAUAGGAGAAAAUACUCCUUUGUCAAGUUUGAGGUGCAAUUUGUUUCAGCAUUUUAUUAAUUUGUACUUACCUAUCUUAGUGAGAUGUUUAUAGAUAAGAUGUCUUUGUGUUAUGAAGAGCUGAUAUUUUGAUAUACAGUUGAAUUUGACUCAGUGACCACCCAUAAUAAGCAGCCAGGUGCCUCAAGCAACGUGUUAGCUAACUUCCUAAAUUGCUUGUUCAGAUUUCAAUUUGUGUUAAGCAUCAAAAGUACUGCCUUUAAGCAGUCAGACUGAGUCACUUUCUUUGUUGUGUUCAUUUUUGUAAAAUCUUUUUUUUUUUUCCAAGUGUUUGUCAAUGAGCUUUUAAAUGCUUUACAUUAUGUGUGAAAUGUAGAAAUAAUGUUAAAACCUAGGCUGUUCUUCAUUAAUAUUUAUGUCAGAAAAAUAGCCUUGGGAAUGUUUUCAUUAUGCUGUACUUCGUUUCAAAGUUUGCAAAUUUGGCUGAAUUUUAUUUAGAUAUUGACAGUAGGAUUAUAUUUUGAAAUGUGAAAAAAGAAUCCGAAUUACUGGCAAACAUGCUUAAACACAUUUAUAUGACAUUCAGUAUCAGUUGUAGGUUUAUAAUGUGUUUACCUUUUCAGGUAGGCCAGAUUUACUCUCACAUGAGGUAAAUGAUUGGAGCUAGGAUUGAAUUUUCUUGUUUAAACCUGGUGUCCACUUUUUUAACCAGGUGCCUGUCAGUUUAACCAGAUGUAUGCCAGUUCGAACCAGGUGCAUGCAGAUGCCUACAGUAAUACCCAGAGGAACAUUUUGAGCUAUUCUACACUAUAAAAAACCUGAAAAGUCGUACAGAAGCUGAAUUUGUCAAUUUGUCAAAACUAUGCAUACGCACAAAGUCUUCAAAAUUACUGAUAGACAUUUUGAAUUCAAAACUAAAUUUCUGGUAUAAAUGUUGAUGACAACAGCCACUAGGUUAUUUUACUUGUUCAGUUGAAUCUCGAGAAAAAAGCCUUGGUUCAAAAUUAUGAGUUCAAAGUCAGUUUGAAGUCCAAUCUUAGAAUACAGCCAGGUCAUUGGUUGAUUUCAAAAUGGUGCACAGAAUCAACCAAUCAGAGGCCAGAGAUCAAAGACUGGUCUCCAAACUUGGUUUUAUAAGUUUUGAACUUGGUGUAUAUAUUUAAUACCCUAGUCAUAUCAAUUUAUUUAUUCUAGAGAUUAAUGUUAUACAUUUGUGCAUAUUUCUGUUGGGUAUAUUUGUUAAGAUGUGUUUUCUAUACAUUCAAAGGUGGCAUAUAGAUUGGUGCUGAAAUGCUUAGCAUUUCUGUUUUAUUAUAUUGAAAUGACUUUUGUUUCUCUUAUGUUAAUGUGAAAACAGUGGGUCCUUGAAUAAUUUAUUGUCUGUUGUUUUUUUUUUAAUUAAAUGAUGCAGGGUGUACCAAUAAAGAAGAUAACUGUAACACACAAAACUUGCCAGCUUUAACUAGAAACAAAAAUAUAGAAAGAAGUCUUCAAAAUAAUGUUUGUUUUAAGGUAGUUUUCUAUGUUUGGAUAUUUUUUUUCUACAAAGCAGAUUAUUCUUAAACCUUCAGUUUUCAAAACUUAAGAAUAUACUAAGGAAAUUCUGCCAAUACAAAAGGGUAGGAUUUUAUGCUUGAUUUUGUAAAGGAAAUUGGAUCUGUAUCUCAAGCAGGUUUUCAUAUUCAUGGGAAUUCAUGAAAAAAUCACAAUUUUGAUGUCAUUUUUGCAAGUUUAAAGUUUUUGACAUUGUAGAUUUUAAUGAAAAUCAACUUAUUCCCAUUGGUAAAGUAAAAUGUCUAAGUCUGUGUGCUUAUUUUUGAGUUAUUUUCCUAUGACUGAAAAUGUAUGCAAAGUUCAAGCAGAUUUGAUGGCACCAAAUUAUUUCACUUAUCAAUUUUGUCACCAUUUUUAUCUUUGGAAAGAAAUUCAUGUCGCUAUUUUCAUAAUUGUUUUCAUAUGUAGGAUUACAUUUUUCAGUAUGACAAGUCCAGGCUCUGUUCUAUAAUAUCGAGACAAAUGACUUAACAUUGUGAUUCCCAGUUCAUCCAACAUGCAGAACUAUCUUAAAACCUAAUUGCUUCGUGCUAUAAGGCUGCCUUUAACUUCAAUUUUAUUUUUACAUCUUAAGCAUAUAUUUGAAAUAUAUGAUUAUAAAGAGAGAUUUUUUCUAGAUGUGUUCAUGUAUAUUUAAGAAAUAAUUUAAAACAAAACCGUGUUUUAACACCAUUUUUCAAAUGGGUGGUUAUAUGUCGGGUGUAAUAAUUGCACAAGGGCACAGUCAGAGUGUAUAAAUAGUGUUCGAACAAGUUUUUGCUGUAAAUUAUUUACAUUCUAAUAUGUCUUUUAUUAUAAAAUUUAGAUCAAAUAUGAUGAAACUCCAAAUGGUAGGUCAUCAUGCUCCUUUGUUUCUACGCGCCUGGACCAGAAAUAGUAAUACGUCUUGCAGAAUAGUUCCAUUAGGGCGCAAAUGGUAGUGAAUUGUUCUGCCCAGCUAAUAACAAACUCCGGCUGUGUGUAAAUUAAUUUAGACAGUGUUAUGCUAUGUGACAUUUUAUUUUAAACAUGUUUUCAAGUAAAAUAUUUGAUCAAAUUUUGAAAGCGCUAUUUCUUGAUGCGUACAUGGCGCUAAAUGUCGACGUGACGUCAGCAUAAUAUUGUUGUGAUGAUUAAAGCAUUGUAAGUCACAUUAGAAUGUUACAUAUUGUUUACCUUUUUUUAUUUUGAGAUAAAGAAUAACUAUCAUGUAACACAUAUCAGAAUAGUAUUUUGCUUAACACACAAACUGCACACUGCUUUGCACAGUUACUUUGCACAUUUGUCAAUAUAUUUGCGUGCCAUUUUCAUUAUUUACAUGCAUUUUUACAAUACCAGCCCCAAGAACAAGAAUGAAUUUGUAUUAUUCUUAAAUGAGAUAUUUGAGCAACGUUUUGGAACAGUAUUGUUUGGAUUUUUCACGAUUUGAAAAUGACACGAAAGUGGUAAAGUCAAGUGUAAUUAAAACAGAUUUAUUUCCUGUAAUUAACUUGAAAAAAUCUCAUAUUGGUUUGUUGUUAUAGGCACUUGAAUGCCAAAUAUAUUUAAGGAAGAAAAUUGCUAUUACAUAGUAUACAAAGAUCUUUUGUGUGAAUAUUUGUUUUUGCAUUAAAGGGGCACUACUCCCAGUUAACAUAGAAUUUGAAACAAAUUAAAAUAGCAACAAUAUAUGGUAUAUUAAAUAAAAAAACAAUAUAAAUCACUUUAUUUAAAUUGAUAUUAAUUUUUCAAUUAUGAUAUAAUUUACAGCUAUAUUCAUUUUUUUUACAUCACAUUUCUUUCGGCGGACUGUCACUUUAGUUUUUCUACAUAUUUUAUGAACUACGCAAGAGUUUUUGUAGAUACUUAAUACCUCAAAGAAUCACUUUAGUUUUACUUUUAUUUACAAUAACUACCUAUUUAAGCACUUUUUAAGUUUAAAAAAAAAAUGACUUAAUCUGUAGGUGUGCCCCUUUAAUGUUGUUGUUGACCAUUGGACGGCUACAGUGAAGGUGCUGUGGAUGUUGUUAUAUGAAAUGAAUGAAAUACCUCAGGAAUAUACAUGUUGUUUUAUGAGUUAAUACGGAAUACUGGAAAAUCAUUUCAUUUCGUUGGCAUAAAGUUUUAUGGUUUAGACCAAAAUGGUCAUUUCUUUGGGCUGUAUAAAAUUUGCAGAUUUAACCUUAUAAGGAUGAAAAUUUAAUGAAUGAUCCUUUAGUUAUUCAUUUGGAUUUAAUUUCAUGGAUUUGCAGAAGUACCGAGUCGGUGAAAUUUAGUACCCCAUGAAAUUUAAUGACUUCCCAGUAUACUGUAGUUGAAAAAAACUAGUAUUUUUUGUAUGUGACUUAUGAUUGGUAUAAGGAAAUGACGAACCUUGAUUGUUUAGAUUUUUUUGUUGAAUUUUGAACAGACAAGUUGGAAAUAGAGAUCAAUUCUUUGUCACAUGUUUUACAAACUAUACUCAUCGGAGAAACCAGUUAUGAAUUUAUUGAUAGUCUAAUUUUUUUAGCUCACCUGUCACAAAGUGACAAGGUGAGCUUUUGUGAUCGCGUGGCGUCCGUCGUCCGUCGUCCGUGCGUCAGUGCGUGCGUGCGUGCGUGCGUAAACUUUUGCUUGUGACCACUCUAGAGGUCACAUUUUUCACGGGAUCUUUAUGAAAGUUGGUCAGAAUGUUCAUCUUGAUGAUAUCUAGGUCAAGUUCGAAACUGGGUCACGUGCGAUCAAAAACUAGGUCAGUAGAUCUAAAAAUAGAAAAACCUUGUGACCUCUCUAGAGGCCAUAUUUCUUAAUGGAUCUUCAUGAAAAUUGGUCAGAACGUUCACCUUGAUGAUAUCUAGGUCAAGUUCGAAACUGGAUCACGUGGGGUCAAAAACUAGGUCAGUAGAUCUAAAAAUAGAAAAACCUUGUGACCUCUCUAGGGGCCAUAUUUUUCAUAAGAUCUUGAUGAAAAUUGGUCAGAAUGUUCAACUUGAUGAUAUCUAGGUCAAGUUCGAAACUUGGUCACGUGGGGUCAAAAACUAGGUCAGUAGGUCUAAAAAUAGAAAAACCUUGUGACCUCUCUAGAGGCCAUAUUUCUCAAUGGAUCUUCAUGAAAAUUGGUCAGAAUGUUCACCUUGAUGAUAUCUAGGUCAAGUUUGAAACUGGGUGACGUGGGGUCAAAAACUAGGUCAGUAGAUCUAAAAAUAGAAAAACAUUGUGACCUCUCUAGAGGCCAUAUUUUUCAUGAGAUCUUCAUGAAAAUUGGUCAGAAUGUUUACCUUGAUGAUAUCUAGGUCAGUUUCGAAACUGGGUCACGUGGGGUCAAAAACUAGGUCAGUAGGUCUAAAAAUAGAAAAACCUUGUGACCUCUCUAGAGGCCAUAUUUCUCAAUGGAUCUUCAUGAAAAUUGGUCAGAAUGUUCACCUUGAUGAUAUCUAGGUCAAGUUUGAAACUGGGUCACGUGGGGUCAAAAACUAGGUCAGUAGAUCUAAAAAUAGAAAAACUUUGUGACCUCUCUAGAGGCCAUAUUUUUCAAAUGAUCUUUAUGAAAAUUGGUCAGAAUGUUCACCUUGAUGAUACCUAGGUCAGGUUCGAAACUUGGUCACGUGCGGUCAAUAACAAGGUCAGUAGAUUUAAAAAUAGAAAAACCUUGUGACCUCUCUAGAGGCCAUAUUUUUCAAGAGAUCUUGAUGAAGAUUGGUCAGAAUGUUCAUCUUGAUGAUAUCUAGGUCAAAUUCAAAACUGGGUCACGUGCGGUCAAAAACUAGGUCAGUAGGUCUAAAAAUAGAAAAUUCUUGUGAUGUCUCUAGAGGCCAUAUUUCUCACUGGAUCUUCAUGAAAGUUGGUGCGAAUGUUCAGCUUGAUGAUAUCUAGGUCAAGUUCAUAACUGGGACAUGUGCGGUCAAAAACUAGGUCAGUAGGUCGAAAAAUACAAAAACCUUGUGACCUCUCUAGAGGCCAUAUUUUUCACGAGAUCUUCAUGAAAAUUAGUGAGAAUGUUCACAUUGAUGAUAUCUAGGUCAAGUUUAAAAGUGGGUCACGUGCCUUGAAAAACUAGGUCAUUAGGUCAAAUAAUAGAAAAACCUUGUGACCUCUCUAGAGGUCAAUUUAUUUUUUCAAUGGAUCUUCAUGAAAAUUGGUCAGAAUUUUUUAUCUUGAUGAUAUCUAGGUCACAUAUGCUCAAAAACUAGGUCACUUUGUCAAAUAAUAGAAAUAACGACGUCAUACUCGGUUCAACACUGGGUCAUGUGGGGAUAGGUGAGCGAUUCAGGACCAUCAUGGUCCUCUUGUUUAAAUAUGUGUUUACUAACUUGUAAUGAGUAUUGUUACAUGCUUACAGAUUAUUUUGUACCACUCCCUGAUCCAUGUAAUGAACCAUUUUGAUGAGGGUGUAUAUAGCGGUAUUGAAAAGACAAUACAGAACUUUGUUCGCUCAAACUCGGAUAAAAUUCAUGCACUACCCUUAGCUCGAACUCAUCCUUACAGGUCCCAGCAAAACAUCUUUAUAAUUGAUAUUUUUCAGUGUCUCGAACUGAAAAUAACCGAUAACUCGAACAAAUUUGACUGGUCCCAUAGAGUUUGAGUGACGAAGUUUGACUAUAGUAUUAUAGAUAAUUGCAAAAUCUGUUUAACAUUCCAGAUGUACACAGCAGAAGUUUAUUUUACAUUCCAUGUUGUUAUUAUCUCAGUAAUGACUGAUGAAAUGGUAGGGACAUUCAGGGUAUUAGAAAAGAUAGUUAUAUUUCAAAGACAUGUACAAAUUCCUAUCAGAAAUGAAUAAUGUUCAUUUUGCUACAGUGUUGUAAUGAACGGGUGGGAAUUGUUUGCUUUAAGAGAACAUAUUGCAUAAUUGUUAUUCAUAAACUUCACAUUUCACAAAGCACUAGAUUUUAUUUUUUUGUUAUUAUUUUUAAGUAUCUAAAGACACUGAUUUCAAUGGCCACUAGAGCAUUUGAUCAAAACGAGCAAAUUUAUGUAUAACGUAAGAAUUGUGUAUGUAAAAUGUAGAUUUUAUGAUAUAGUAUUAUAAUGUUGAUUAUUUUCCCGGUUAUAUGACAGUGUAGGUGCUUAUUAAUUACAUACACAGUUUGAGUGUUAUGGAUUUAAAAUACCAUCGGGAAUAUAUUGUUUAGAAUCUCAUUUGUCUAUCUGCACUUUUCUUCAAACACCAUCUCUGAAACCGUUUGGUAGAAGUUGAUGAAACUUGGCCUAGAUGUUCCUUGUAUGGUCCACCAAACUUGUUCAAAGAAUGUCGUUCUAUACAGAAUUCUAGUCACCUUGGUAACCAGAAGGAAAAAACUUUAAGAAUAAUAAUCUUCUACUCCAGAACUGCAAGGCCCAGAGCUUUAUCAUUUGAUAUGAAGCAUUGUCUAGUAGGAGUCUACCAUAUUUUUUCAAAUCAUACCACCUGAGUUCAAAAUUGUCCCAGCCCCAGGUUGCACAUUUUUUUGCAUAGACUUUUAUAAAUUAGCAAAAUUUUAAAAAUCAUCUUCUCUACUGCUGUAUGAACCAGUAUUUGGCUUGUAGUAUUGUGUAGUGGUCCUCUGCCUAGUUUGUUCAAAUCAUGACCUGUAGCUGUGCCAUAUUUCAAAACCAUCAGUUCUGUGGAAAUAAAAUUAUUUUUUGUUAAAAUGGGAUAUGGAUUCAUUGAUUUCCAUUUAUCAACAUAAUAGUCACUGGAAACUCUUCUUUUUUGUUAGGAUUUAAUUUCACGGAAUGACGCAACCACACAAUCUGAGAAAAUUAAUCCCCAAGGAAUAGUAGUGAUUUCACAGUAUCCAUUUUUGUUAGAGCUUUAGGUAAUUGUGGAUUCUUUCAGGUUAAGAUAAUUUUUCACAUUUGUUUUGUCAAAAGUCAUGGCAGCAGAAUUACCUUAAGUUAGAAGUUAGAAGAGAAAACUUUGUUUUUUUUUAUUUGACUACUGAAAUGUUUAUUUGUCUACUGAAAAAAACUAAUGUUUGGGCUUUGCAGCCAGUAUAGAUCCAGAUUAGCCUGAAUAUUUGUGCAGUCAGUUGGAUACAGGUGUUGAAUUGAUAAACAAACAGAAUAGAUGUGGGGAUGGCUAUGCACUGAUUUGGAUCAUUGCUGGUCACAAAGCCCUAAUGUUGCUUUUAGCACAGCAGCGCUCAUAUAUGCUAAUCUAAGCUUUUCUGUAUCAGUGGUUUAGUUAUAAGGUUUGUACAUAUACAUUUGGUGAAUUAAAUAAGAUGAAAAAUGUUAAUAGUUUCUAUACUGUAUAAUUUUGUGCUCAAGGUAUAAGAAAAAAACAUUCCAAGUUAUCAUUGUAAUAUAAUUACUAUUAUAUUAUCUCCUUUGCCAGAAGGAAACAUGAUAUUUAUAAGGUAACUUUUGUACCUGGACCUGAUUUAAGGUUUUCAAAUUCUCUAAAUAGCUUACAUGAUUUCAAGGUUAUAAAGUUGAGUUUGGAGACCAGUCAGAGUGUACAAGCUUGUGAUUGGUCAGUUCCAAGAUGGUGUUUUCAGAAAUAGCCAAUCAAGUACUUGAAUAUUGAGAGAGGUCUCGAACUCAGUUAUAUAAUGUUGGACUAUGGUUACAUGUUAGGGCUAUGGUUACAUGUUAGAAACCCACGUCAUUUUAACGUUAGUUUUCACAACUUCAUUAUUUUUGCUAAUUAUAGAUAUUAAAAGUCUUCUUACAGAAUAGUUUAAAAUGAUGCUUUGUUGCUUGUCUUAUUCAUAAACUGGUUUUGCCAUUUACAAUGUUCAAAUGCACCUGGAGUGCUUAUGUUAUAUUGAAACUUGUAUUGCCGACUCAAAAUAAAAUUUAUCUUAUCUUAUCUUACAAUGUUUUAAAAGAACUUUAAAUUUGUGAUUAUUAUUAUACAGUCAAGCAUGCUCGAGAGACCACAUCUAUUAAGAGACUACUAUUAAUAGAUAACAUUUUCAGUUUCUUUCUGUGCUGUUAAAGAACAAACUAUAUUGUAUUAAAACUAUAUUCAAACCACAUUAUGUCCUUAGGAGGCUGCUUGAUGCAAGUUGCACUGGAGAAAAUAUAUUUUUCUUCCCCAUCAUUAUUGUUCUUGCACAAAAAGGAAGUUCUUGUAAAUUAGUCAGUUUCCAGUUACUUUGUAUAUAAAUGAUAUAUGAAAGUACAUAAUUGUUUUUUUUUUCAAUACAAGGAUGCAGGGUCAUCAGAUACUGUUUGUAUAUAUUGUAAUGUUUAGUUUUAUAUUAGAAGUUUAUAUUGUUUUGUAUCAUCUCAAACCUUGUUCCUAGUUUUGUAUUAAAAAUACUACUAGUAUUAGAUAAUUAGAUUCUAAUUUUAACUGA